rnacentral:tRNA from 1 species
GCUGGGGUGGCGGAAUGGUAGACGCGCACGACUCAAAAUCGUGUUCCUUCAACGGAGUAUGGGUUCGAGUCCCAUGCCCAGCA